CAUGGCUCAGAGCGAACGCUGGCGGCAGGCCUAACACAUGCAAGUCGAACGGACCCUUCGGGGUUAGUGGCGGACGGGUGAGUAACACGUGGGAACGUGCCUUUAGGUUCGGAAUAGCUCCUGGAAACGGGUGGUAAUGCCGAAUGUGCCCUUCGGGGGAAAGAUUUAUCGCCUUUAGAGCGGCCCGCGUCUGAUUAGCUAGUUGGUGAGGUAACGGCUCACCAAGGCGACGAUCAGUAGCUGGUCUGAGAGGAUGACCAGCCACACUGGGACUGAGACACGGCCCAGACUCCUACGG
rnacentral:rRNA from 1 species